rnacentral:rRNA from 1 species
UACGUAGGGUGCAAGCGUUAAUCGGAAUUACUGGGCGUAAAGCGUGCGCAGGCGGUUAUGUAAGACAGAUGUGAAAUGCCCGGGCUUAACCUGGGAACUGCAUUUGUGACUGCAUGGCUAGAGUGUGUCAGAGGGGGGUAGAAUUCCACGUGUAGCAGUGAAAUGCGUAGAUAUGUGGAGGAAUACCGAUGGCGAAGGCAGCCCCCUGGGAUAACACUGACGCUCAUGCACGAAAGCGUGGGGGAGCAAACAGG